GCGGGGGCGGGCAGGCUUACACAUGCAAGUCGAGCGGAGUGAUGGUGCUUGCACUAUCACUUAGCGGCGGACGGGUGAGUAAUGCUUAGGAAUCUGCCUAUUAGUGGGGGACAACAUUUCGAAAGGAAUGCUAAUACCGCAUACGUCCUACGGGAGAAAGCAGGGGAUCUUCGGACCUUGCGCUAAUAGAUGAGCCUAAGUCGGAUUAGCUAGUUGGUGGGGUAAAGGCCUACCAAGGCGACGAUCUGUAGCGGGUCUGAGAGGAUGAUCCGCCACACUGGGACUGAGACACGGCCCAGACUCCUACGGGAGGCAGCAGUGGGGAAUAUUGGACAAUGGGCGCAAGCCUGAUCCAGCCAUGCCGCGUGUGUGAAGAAGGCCUUAUGGUUGUAAAGCACUUUAAGCGAGGAGGAGGCUACUGAAGUUAAUACCUUCAGAUAGUGGACGUUACUCGCAGAAUAAGCACCGGCUAACUCUGUGCCAGCAGCCGCGGUAAUACAGAGGGUGCAAGCGUUAAUCGGAUUUACUGGGCGUAAAGCGCGCGUAGGCGGCUAAUUAAGUCAAAUGUGAAAUCCCCGAGCUUAACUUGGGAAUUGCAUUCGAUACUGGUUAGCUAGAGUGUGGGAGAGGAUGGUAGAAUUCCAGGUGUAGCGGUGAAAUGCGUAGAGAUCUGGAGGAAUACCGAUGGCGAAGGCAGCCAUCUGGCCUAACACUGACGCUGAGGUGCGAAAGCAUGGGGAGCAAACAGGAUUAGAUACCCUGGUAGUCCAUGCCGUAAACGAUGUCUACUAGCCGUUGGGGCCUUUGAGGCUUUAGUGGCGCAGCUAACGCGAUAAGUAGACCGCCUGGGGAGUACGGUCGCAAGACUAAAACUCAAAUGAAUUGACGGGGGCCCGCACAAGCGGUGGAGCAUGUGGUUUAAUUCGAUGCAACGCGAAGAACCUUACCUGGCCUUGACAUAGUAAGAACUUUCCAGAGAUGGAUUGGUGCCUUCGGAACUUACAUACAGUGCUGCAUGGCUGUCGUCAGCUCGUGUCGUGAGAUGUUGGGGUUAAGUCCCGCAACGAGCGCACCCUUUUUCCCUUAUUUGGCCAGCCGAGUAAUGUCGGAACUUAAAGAUCCUGCUAGUGACAACUGGAAGGAAGCGGGACGACGUUCAGUCAUCAUGGCCCUACCGCCAGCUCACCCCUGCUACAUGGUCGGUUCAACGGUUGUCUUACUUAACGAUAUCGA
rnacentral:rRNA from 1 species